AUACUAGUUUUAAAGCUCAAAAACAAACUAACUAAACCAAUUAUACACAAAACAAAAAUAAAACAUUCUAAUAUUAGAGUAUAGGUGAUAGAAAUUUUAAUUCUCUUAUGACGCUAUAAAGAGAGUACCGCAAGGGAAAGAUGAAAGAAUAAUAAUAAGUAAGAAAAAGCAAAGUUAAAUACUUGUACCUUUUGCAUAAUGAUUCAACUAGAAACCAUUAGCAAAAAGGAAUGAAGUUAAUUACCCCGAAACCAGACGAGCUACCUGAUAGCAGCCCAAGAGCGAACUCAUCUAUGUAGCAAAAUAGUGAGACGACUAACAGGUAGAGGCGACAAACCUAUCGAGCCUGGAGAUAGCUGGUUGUCCAGAACAGAAUUUUAGUUCUAAUUUAAGUUUACCAGGAAAACACACAAAUUUAAAUGUAAGCUUAAAUUAUAAUCUAAAAAGGUACAGCUUUUUAGAUAAAAGAUACAACCCCCACUAGAGAAUAAAUUUAACAACAAUGACAGUUGACCUAAGAGCAGCCACCACUUAAGAAGGCGUUCAAGCCCUAAUAAUAUACAAAUUCAAUUCCCUAAUAAAGAGUAUUUCCUAAUAUAAGACUGGACCAUUCUAUUUAUUAAUAGAAGUAAUAAUGUUGAUAUGAGUAACAAGAAAUAAUUUUCUCCCUGCACACAUGUAUGCCGCAAAGAAUAGAUCACCGGCAAUUAUCAAAUCAAGUAUUACCAUUACUUAAUCCCUUAAAGUUAAUUGUUAGACCAACACAGGAGUGCAUAACCAAGGGAAAGAUCAAAAAGAGCAAAAGGAAUUCAGCAAAUAUUAAAAACCUCGCCUGUUUACCAAAAACAUCACCUCUAGCAUAAAUAGUAUUAGAGGCAUAGCCUGCCCAGUGACUUUAAUUUUAACGGCCGCGGUAUCCUGACCGUGCAAAGGUAGCAUAAUCAUUUGUUCUCUAAAUAAGGACCUGUAUGAAUGGCCCCACGAAGGUUCUGCUGUCUCUUGCUCUUCGUCAGUGAAAUUGAUAUUUCCGUGAAGAAGCGGGAAUAUAUAAAUAAGACGAGAAGACCCUAUGGAGCUUUAAUUACCUAAUUCACAUAAUAAACACCUAACAAUUAAAAGAAACAUAUCUUUAUCUAUGCUGAAUUAGCAAUUUAAGUUGGGGUGACUUCGGAAUAAAAAUAAACUUCCGAGAAAAUUUUAUUAAGACUAACUAGUCGAAAUUAUUUCACUAAACAUUGAUCCCUCACUGAUGAUCAACGGAAUAAGUUACCCUAGGGAUAACAGCGCAAUCCUAUUCAAGAGUCCUUAUCGACAAUUAGGGUUUACGACCUCGAUGUUGGAUCAGGACAUCCCAAUGGUGUAACAGCUAUUAAUGUGUUCGUUUGUUCAACGAUUAAAGUCCUACGUGAUCUGAGUUCAGACCGGAGUAAUCCAGGUCGGUUUCUAUCUAUUCACAAGUCCCUCCCAGUACGAAAGGACAAGAGAGACAAGGCCUACUUAUCAUAAGCGCCCUAAUAAAAUAAAUGAACCCAUCUUAAUUUUAUAAUAUCAAUUAAUCAUAUGAGAAAAAUGUAGAGUU
rnacentral:rRNA from 1 species